UACGUAGGGGGCGAGCGUUGUCCGGAAUUACUGGGCGUAAAGCGCACGUAGGCGGUUUCUUAAGUCGGUGGUGAAAUCCUGGAGCUCAACUCCAGAACUGCCUUCGAUACUGGGAAACUUGAGUCCGGGAGAGGUGAGUGGAACUGCGAGUGUAGAGGUGAAAUUCGUAGAUAUUCGCAAGAACACCAGUGGCGAAGGCGGCUCACUGGCCCGGUACUGACGCUGAGGUGCGAAAGCGUGGGGAGCAAACAGG
rnacentral:rRNA from 1 species